CUGUAGGGAUUUGGUUCAGAGGUUGACUGUCUGCAGCCGUGGGUGAAUUUCCCCUCCGUUGGUUUUGCUUCAACUCCUAGUUCUGUCAGUGAGCUGUCUGAAGAGACCUCAAGACUCUCCUCCCCGGGACUCAAGCCCAAGAAAUCUGGACCCUGGAGAUCUUUCCUCAGUGACGUGGCUGUUUGGACACAGCCUUCUCCUCCUUCUGCUGCAAUAGCAAUGCUAGUGUCCCCAUGCAGCUGCAGUGAGGAGCUCUUGGCUUGGGCAGGAGCAAACCCUGGGCUCGGCGUAGCCGCGCCGGUGGCUAUGGAGUGAUCUGUGCUCUGGGUGCGUGGGCACAGCGGGGAGGCUGAAGCUGGCUGC
rnacentral:lncRNA from 1 species